UGGCCCCUUCCGCCCCGAGGCUGCCCUGCGAGGCGGGGGGCUGCCGGGCAAGUAAGAGGCGAGCGCUUUUGCCCCACUUCCUGCAGGGGAAGCCGCUGCCCAAGCUGGAAAAGUACCUGGCAGGGAGAGCGCUUCCAGCGCAGCGCAGCGGAAAGAGGAAACGGAUGACGCAAAGGAGAGCCGAGGGGGCGCUGAGGCAGGGCGGGGAGGGCGACCCGCCGCAAAGGGGCUGCAUCCGCCCUGCCUUCCCAGCCCGUCCUGAAGAGAGAAGUCACAGCUCGAGGCUGCAGGCCGGCGUUUCCUUGCCGGGGAGGAAGGCUUGGAAAGUUUUGGAGCUGGAAGAUGGAGAGCCAGGCUGGAGGAGCUCCCGGCUCAUAGACACGCGCUUGGAUCGCCACGUGUGGCGUUUCCAUGGCCACGUGCCCCACGACUUUGUUCUCUGUCUCACAGCAGGCCUGAGUUGGACAGUCUGGCCGAAGAGACCAUGCGAAGGAGGCAGAUCUGUUCGAGGAUGCCAAAGGCACCUGGUGAAGAGAGGUCCUGUGUAGGAUUGGCAAAUUUGUGACCAGAAACUUGAGGGAAGGCGGAAUACUUGCAUCCAGAGACUGGCUCGUGGCAUUAAUCCUGCAAUUCUUAUACACUUACCUGAGAUGCUUUGGCGGUUCCAGGUCAUACGCUUGCUGGACUGGCAUGUCAGGGCCAGGAGUCAGGGAGAAUGCGAGCCAAACUCAGGCAGUGGCAAGCUGUGGCAGGAGUGGAGGCUGAGGUUUCGUCAGGAACAGAUGAGUGCAAAAUACGUGACUUUCAAAUGAGUUAGGGGGUCCUGGCUCAUUCAGAUGGAAAGGUGUUGGACCUCCGGCCCACCAAGGGUCUCCAUCUUUCUGGGUGGCUCUACCCUUCCACUCAACAGCCCUCACUCUUGGGCUUUUUCCUGUCUUUGCGCAGCUUUCCCGCAUUCUAGAAGUGGAAAUUCCUUCCCCAAAAGCUUAAGCCAUAGGUAGCCUUGAGCUAAGCUGUGUUGGAAGUUCUGGCACUUUCUCCCCUUCUGCCUCACCCUUGGGAGCGUUUCUCAAGUUGAAUUUAGCCCUUGAAUUAGGCUAUGGUUAGGUCUGAGAUCUGGCUAGCAGGUGUCUGCAGCUGAAGCAUGUGGCCCUGGCGUGAUGGAGGUCUCUUGAGGCCUUCAUCUUGGAAGACACUCAUUCCUGGGGUCACCCUAAAUUGGAGAUGACUUGACAGCAAAGAACCAGGUGUCUAUCUCAGAAUUAGACACUAGAGGGCUGCAUUGGACUGGUUUUCAAGCAAGGCAGCUUUUGCCCCGACUGAUUUGGGACCACCCAUGCGGGUUAGAGGCCCAGACUCAAGGGGGACUACAGGAACUGGUGGCCUGGAUUCGCUUUUGCAAAGGAGAGCUUGGGAUGCUUUGGUGCCAUCACCGUGCUGAUGUUUUAGAAAGUGAAACCUAGAGGGAAGGUCCAGUGGAAGGCAGUGGUCUGGCUUACGAAGGGAUUCUUGCUGCGCAUCUUGCAGCUCCUCUGCUCCUUUGCCCCCCCCCCACUCCCCAAAGCCAUCUCCUGCUGAGAUGGACCAUCAGCCCCUCAGCUGAAGGACUGCCCACUCUGACUGGAGGCUGCCAAGCAAUGUUUUAGGCCAAAAGUGUGGAACCAAUGGCUCUCCAGUGGUUGUUGGACUCCAGAUCCCAUCAUGGAUUCUGGCUCUCCCAUCAUUUAUGUUAUUAAUUUUAUUAUUUUAUUUAUUUUUGGAUUUAUAUCCUGCCUUUCUCC